UGGGAACCUCCGGGGGGGGGUUCGAUUCCUUCGUACC
rnacentral:tRNA from 1 species